AUUAUUUUUUAUUUAAAUAUCAAAUUUCGGUUUAAAUAAUUAAAGCGUAACGGAGAGUUAUAUUUAUUAUUGAAUUAAUCUUAUUAAAUUUUAUGUGAUAAAUAAAAAGUUGGUAUUCUUGAAAAUUUUGAGAUCUGAAAUCAAAAUUAUUUUGAUUUGUUGUUUUAUGUUUUAAGUGUUGAAAUAAUUAAAAAAACAAAUUUCUGCCAGACGUGUUCAGGAAGAACAUGACUGCAGGGCCACGUCCACUGUCGUGCUUGCCUCCGGUGGCUUCAUGAUUAUCACGAACGAUGGUUCUGCAGAUCCAGCAGAGUCGUCGUCGAUGGUUCUGCGGUUUGGUGCAAAUCUCCACUCCUUUCCGAUGGAGUCAAUCUCAGUCGAGGCGUGUUGUUGCAUCGCGCUGUUGCAGCAAGCAGCCAUGCCCGAAGGUGAGACCCAGUCGGUGUGCACCGUUGAGGCGCGCUGUUGCCUUGCGCUCUCAUCGCUCAAUGGCUGACGGCGAGGCCUCGCAAGGCGUGGCUGAAGCAUGGCAUGGGCAGGCAUCCUCGUCAAUGGCAGGAGAAAGUGAGAGGAAUUGUUCUCCUCUCUAUUCUCGUCGACGGAAAGGAUGAAAGAUCGCCGGUGUUACUUUGGUCGGCCGGUGGACGCGCAACCGUUGCGCAAUCUGCUGGACGAUGAGUAGCGAUCGUCGACUGUGCUGGAUUAAGGGGCGGCGGCUAGGGCAUUAUCUCUAGGAAGAAAAUGAAGUCAAAUUGUUGUCUGGUCCCUACAACUUUUUAAAGGUUUUCAAGUUGGUCCUUUUCAGGCUAAAAAUAAAUUAAAAAAAUUAUAUUCAGUCUAUAAAUUAAAUGACUAUUUAAUUUAAAUAGUUUUUAUUAAUUUGGACCAUUUAAAUAUUUUUAAAAAUAAUUAAAAUUAAUUUUAAUGUAUUUAAUUAGAAA
rnacentral:lncRNA from 1 species